rnacentral:rRNA from 1 species
CACGGGGGGCCUACGGGAGGCAGCAGUGGGGAAUCUUGGACAAUGGGCGCAAGCCUGAUCCAGCCAUGCCGCGUGAGUGAUGAAGGCCUUAGGGUCGUAAAGCUCUUUCGCCAGAGAUGAUAAUGACAGUAUCUGGUAAAGAAACCCCGGCUAACUCCGUGCCAGCAGCCGCGGUAAUACGGAGGGGGUUAGCGUUGUUCGGAAUUACUGGGCGUAAAGCGCGCGUAGGCGGGCUAGUAAGUUAGAGGUGAAAUCCCGGGGCUCAACCCCGGAACUGCCUUUAAUACUGCUAGUCUUGAGUUCGAGAGAGGUGAGUGGAAUUCCGAGUGUAGAGGUGAAAUUCGUAGAUAUUCGGAGGAACACCAGUGGCGAAGGCGGCUCACUGGCUCGAUACUGACGCUGAGGUGCGAAAGUGUGGGGAGCAAACAGGAUUAGAUACCCUGGUAGUCCACACCGUAAACGAUGAAUGCCAGUCGUCGGGUAGCAUG